CCAAUAGCGUAUAUUAAAGUUGCUGCAGUUAAAAAGCUCGUAGUUGAAUUUCGGGACUAAUAUGUCGGUCGUGCCUCGGUACGUACUGGUAUUUUUGGUUUCUCCCUUCUGACGAACCUUGAUGUCAUUAAUUUGGUGUCUUGGGAAAUCAGGACUGUUACUUUGAAAAAAUUAGAGUGUUUAAAGCAGGCUCACGCUUGAAUACAUUAGCAUGGAAUAAUGAAAUAGGACGUUUGAUUCUAUUUUGUUGGUUUCUAGGAUCGACGUAAUGAUUAAUAGGGAUAGUUGGGGGCAUUAGUAUUCAAUUGUCAGAGGUGAAAUUCUUGGAUUUAUUGAAGACUAACUACUGCGAAAGCAUUUGCCAAGGAUGUUUUCAUUAAUCAAGAACGAAAGUUAGGGGAUCGAAGACGAUCAGAUACCGUCGUAGUCUUAACCAUAAACUAUGCCGACUAGGGAUCGGAUGAUGUUAAUUUUUUAAUGACUCAUUCGGCGCCUUACG
rnacentral:ncRNA from 2 species